UUAAAACAAGGGUGUCAUCAGCAGGGACUGAACUACCAUACAUGCAUACAUGCUGCAUACAAUGCAUAAGGACACCGGGAAAUAAACAUCCUACACAUCGGCAACGAAAACAAAAGGCCACGAGAGCAAAAUGAUAGGGCAGUUGGAAAUUCACAUCAGAAACCUGAGCAGCCUAAUGCUCUACAGAGUUACCAAGGUUCCAGUUGAUUUAGCAAUUAACUUGGACAAGUAGAUAAAUGGCAGUGUGCUCAAGGCCGCCUUAGCAUCUCCAUAGCACAAAGUGUACAGAGGAUCCAGUGAUUGAAGCUUCUAAUGACCAUACUUCUGAAACUCCCACUCACUG
rnacentral:lncRNA from 1 species